UUCAUGUCUGGGCAUUUAUUGUAUAUAUCUGCUCGUAUCAACCUCUGAUUUUCUUUCGUUGUGCUUGCUCCUUAAUCUCGGGCAGACUAUCUCCAUUCUUCUGUAGUGUUCUGUUAAAUCUUUAGGCUCGAGUUUUUUUCUUGCCCCAAUCCAGGCUCCUGUGAUUGAGACUGGUCGAGCUAGUGAUGUCCUUUUCCGUCGGAUUUUUUUGUUUGUCGUCUGGCGUAUUUUGACUCGCCCUGCAUCAGAUUAUGCCCACUUUUUUUUUUUGACCAAAUCAGAUUAUGCCGACUUAUUGGUAGACUACUAUGGGGUACUACUGCUAUUAAAUCAGACAGUAACUUUUUGGGUUUGGAUUUGACUAGUCGCCCCAAUUCUCUGCUUCCCCACUCGGCCUCCCUGGGAUUCCCCUUCUCUCGGCUUUCACGUGCACCACUAGUUUUUAUACGAGUUUUGCACGUUCCAGAACAUCUGGUCCCGUUCUGAUAUUCUGUUAACUGGCUUGGAAUAAGAUUUACUUGUAGCAAGGACAAGGAAUAUUACCAGUUGCUAAUAUAAGUAUAGCUUCAAAGUUCAAACGGUCACCCCCGCCAAUCUUUCUUUGUAGUAUAAGUAUGCAAUAAGUAGCUAGUCUAAGUAUGGAACCCAACCCAGCAGCACCCUUUGAAUAGGAGAUUGGGUGCCUAGCUAGCUUAUGAAUCUGUGGUGGGUCUGUGCAUAAGUUCAAAGUUUAAUCAGAAAGAGGCGUGUCUCCUGAGCUGUCGAAUCGUUUUGUUAAGCUGGGCGCCCACGUUGUCAAUGCUCAGGGGGGUCGGUCGCUGUUCAUCAUUAGUGUUUAACCCAGUGCUAAUGACCAGGCGAUUAUCGUCACGGGUCACCUGCUGCUGGCUGCUGGCGUGCUGCUCGUGGUCAGUACUUAGCGUGCACAGCACCGUCUCGCAGUCUACCGUUUGACUGCUUGAUGAAAGGACGCUAGCUCCGGGACCACCUGGCAGUUAAUGAAGUCACGGCCUUACUGUACCCGCGGUUGCUCAGCGCAGCAGCUGAGCUACUCGCAUCCUUGUCUGCGCGAGCGCAGCAGCGGCGCAGGCGGCAUCGCUCGUCGCUGUGGAGAAAGCCAGGGAUGACGCACGUAAAGCACUGCUCGUGGGGCUGUUCCCAACGUCUUUCCCCAUGCCGAGUUGCCUUGCCGUUGUUGUGCUUUACAGCUAGCCUGUGUGUCCUCUCCUCUCUCGAAUCUCCAUGCUCAAUUUUCAAUAGGAAAACUCUGUACCCAGCGUUUUGUUUUGUUUUUGUACUUAUAGGUUAACUAUUCGUUUGUUUAUGGUGACAAAUCUGUAAAGGGGUGCAUCACCUAAUAUACCCCGGUGUUACUUUUGCA